rnacentral:rRNA from 1 species
GGCGAACGCUGGCGGCGUGCCUAAUACAUGCAAGUUGAGCGAUGAAGAUUGGUGCUUGCACCAAUUUGAAGAGCAGCGAACGGGUGAGUAACGCGUGGGGAAUCUGCCUUUGAGCGGGGGACAACAUUUGGAAACGAAUGCUAAUACCGCAUAAUAACUUUAAACAUAAGUUUUAAGUUUGAAAGAUGCAAUUGCAUCACUCAAAGAUGAUCCCGCGUUGUAUUAGCUAGUUGGUGAGGUAAAGGCUCACCAAGGCGAUGAUACAUAGCCGACCUGAGAGGGUGAUCGGCCACAUUGGGACUGAGACACGGCCCAAACUCCUACGGGAGGCAGCAGUAGGGAAUCUUCGGCAAUGGACGAAAGUCUGACCGAGCAACGCCGCGUGAGUGAAGAAGGUUUUCGGAUCGUAAAACUCUGUUGGUAGAGAAGAACGUUGGUGAGAGUGGAAAGCUCAUCAAGUGACGGUAACUACCCAGAAAGGGACGGCUAACUACGUG